CGGCCAGCAGGUAGAGGAGCGCGGCGCCGCUCAUUGUGCCGAGAGAAGCGGCCGCGGGAGCUUCGCCCCGACAGCGAGGGAGGGAGGGAGGACAGGUGAGCCGGGGCCGGGCACAGGUGAGUCGGGUCCAGGUGAGCCGGGUCCGGGUCGGGCGCAGGUAAGCAGAGCCGCGCCGCUCUCCUCCACCCGGAACACGGGGAUUGUGUCAAUCAGAGCACCUCCACCACCCUCCCCGCCGCGGUGAUUGGGCUCAGACACACCCCGGUCCUGCCCCCUCUAUCUCUACCUCUCCCCUCCUGUACUCUCCGUGUGGACAGACAGGCAGAUGAAGCGCAGGUACCUGGCAUAUAGCAACCUGGUCUCCCGGUGGCUCAGCACUACAACUCCUCUCUCCCAUUCCGAAUCCGCCCUUCCUGUCCUGGGCCUCCUCUAUGGCCAGAGUGAGGACCACCGUUAAUUAGAGGAGCAGCACCUCGUAUUUCGCUUGGGCAGUUUGCACCCCAGAGGAAGAACCAGUGAGAACAUUGUGCAGCUCCACUGUACUCCACAUUUCCAUGGCGUGCCGUUCUGCUCAAACUGUUGGUGGUUUUAAGGUAACCCAUGGCAACUGAGCUAGAAACGUACUACUUCCCAUAUGGUCCGGUACGUACAGGGAACUGGACUCCCAUAAUGGUGAGCACAAUAAUCUACCACAACAGCUGGGCUUGAGGUGAUGGAACAAUUAGGCUAUUAAACACUACAACCACCAAAUAAGUUCUGAGCUACAUGCACUUGGGGAAUUGGUGUUGUCGUUUUGCAAUAUUAUUUUUUGCGUGUUUUAUGUGUGUAUAUAGGUGUGUGUGUGUGUGUGUGUACAUACACACAUACACACACACACAUGUAUAUGUGUAUAUAUAUAUAUAUGUGUGUAUGUACAUGUUUGUAUAUGUGCACAUGUAUACACACUGAACCUUUAUUAUAUUGUUUACAGUGUACUAUGUUUACAUAUUCUGUUGUGCUGCUGCAAGUAAGAAUAUCAUUGUUCUUUCUGGUGUGAGAAAGAAUUGUUCUAUCCAUUAUUGGUGUGAGUGUGCGCGUACCGAAACGGUACACUGUAGCGCUAAAAUCUUUGCAGAAUCUUACUCGGCUUUUACCCGUCGUCGGUCUAAUCAACUUUCCUUCAGGUUUGAUGUUAUAUUUCACGUUAUUGAUAUUUAAAGCUUUAAAAUAAAAGUAACAUUAACAAGAUUUUUACUGUUAAAAUCCUUCCUGCCAGCUUCCAACAAGCUUCGAUACAAAGUUGCAAUACAGGAAUACUCUGUGCUUCCACUCUGUGCUUCCACCAACCUUUCACCUGAAUGGGAUAUCACCGUCCUCCACUCGACGUUUGCAACAAUGUUGCCAUCAUACAACACAGGGGGAGGGUGAAUUGGUAUUGCAAUUUGCGAAGUGCAAUUGCAAUUUUUUUUCAAGUCCAGUGCUGGGUGAGGCAGGGGUUUGCUGGAAUCUUGCGUUCGGCAAUGGGUUGAGUUGGCGAACCACGCCUCCCAUGGGGACUACCGACCGGUUAGUGGUGCAAUAUUGCGUUGGGGAACAGAUUGCGUUGGGGAACGGGUUGUGUUGUGGGACCAGGCCUCCCAUAUGACAGGGACCCAACGGUUCCCAUUUGGUCUAGUAUGAGUGACAAUAAAACCCUCUUGACUCUUGAAUGAAGCUAAUAUGAUGGACAUUUUGUCCUGGUAUUCGUAGAUCCAGGGCAGCAGAGUGGCGCAGUGGGUCACAGCGGCAGGGACCCAGGUUCGAUCCUGACCUCGGGUACUGUCUGUGUGUUUCCUCUGGGUGCUCCGGUUUCCUCCUACACCCCAAAGACGUGCGGGUUUGUAGGUUAAUUGACCCUCUGUCAAUUGCCCCAAGUGUGUAGGGAGUGGAUGUGAAAGUGGGAUAACAUAGAACUAGUGUGAAUGGGUGACUGCUGGUUGGCAUGGACUCAGUGGGCCGAAGGGCCUGUCUCCAUGCUGUAUCUCACAAACUAAAACUAUUACUAUAUAAAGAUUUCCAAAAACUUAGCACAAUAGGAGUAAUCCAUUUGACCCAACUUGCCAUUCAAAAAGCAACCUGUUUACGUUUUUCCCAAUUAUCAGUCUGAAGAAAGGUUCCAAGACAAAAUGCUGUCUGUCCAUUCACUCCUCAGAUGCUGCCUGACCCACUGAGUUCCUCCAGCACUUUGUGCUUAGGCAGGGGGAGCAAUGAUUUAGUGGAAGACACAACUCCUCUGUGUCAGGUACAGGCCGGGAGGAAAUGCUGAGUGUAAUAUUCAGCUUGAAGCAUCAGGGACUGACUUUAUUGACCAAUUCAGCUUUAAUAUGCCAGCUCCCCAUCAUUGGUGAUGUCCAUGAAUAAUAAUGGCAAAAUCAACUUACAAACAAGGGUGAAAGUGUGGGCGGUUCUGGUUUCUAAACAACCUUGCACAAAAAUAUCAGCUUGACUGAGUUAUGACACAGUCUGUAAAAGUUGGUGAGGUAAAGAUCACAGUGUGUUGUAUUGGGCGUAGAUGCAAAACUACUGCCUCCACAGUGUGUGAUCACACAAUCCCAGGCAUUCAAACAAUAACAAUAGUAAUAUCAAUGAGUAGGCAGGAACUGUAGAUGCUGGAGUAACUCGGAGGGUCAGGCAGCAUCUCUGGAGAAAAAGGAUGGGUAAUGUUUUGGGUCGGGACCCUUCUUCAAACUCUGCACUAAGUGAAGGUCAAUAAAUGCAUGUCCCACUUGGGAG